AUGUACAAGUCGUGUUUUCUCACCCAGUGGACAACGACUGUCCAUUCAUGGUCCUCAAGGCAAAGGUCACACCGUCACAGAGAGCUAGAGAUAAACCACAUGGACCAUGGGUGUAUUUGGAAAAGAGCAGUGGGACAGUAUAAUGUGCUCACUGUACCUGUAUGGCAGGGUUAGGGGAAGUAUGCAGUCAUGUUGGGGCACUACUGUUCAAGGUGGAGAUGGCUGUUAAAAUUGGAAUUACACAAACAAGUUCAACCAGUAAAGCUUGUCAGUGGAAUAACAGAUUUAGAAAAGAGGUUACUCCAACUACUGUCACUGACAUUUUCCAGCAUAUAAAGG